UACGGAGGGGGCUAGCGUUGUUCGGAAUUACUGGGCGUAAAGCGCGCGUAGGCGGCUUUGUAAGUCAGAGGUGAAAGCCUGGAGCUCAACUCCAGAACUGCCUUUGAGACUGCAUCGCUUGAAUCCAGGAGAGGUGAGUGGAAUUCCGAGUGUAGAGGUGAAAUUCGUAGAUAUUCGGAAGAACACCAGUGGCGAAGGCGGCUCACUGGACUGGUAUUGACGCUGAGGUGCGAAAGCGUGGGGAGCAAACAGG
rnacentral:rRNA from 1 species